UCCAUCAUGUAAGUUGUUCCAUUUUAAUGCAACAACCAGAAAAAUCCUUCCGUCCCUCUCUGGGAGAACGCUGAGGAUCCUGUCGUUCUUCACUAUUGGGCAUGUGGAAAACCUAUAAAGGCAGCUGCCGUGACUGCUUUGCAGAGAGGAGACAGACAAGUUGUCUAGUUUACGACUUCAUUUUUUUUUUUGGCGGGGCGGGGGGCUCAUUUUAGUGUGGGAGAAUGGUUUUGAGAACCUUGAGCAACUUUGUCUAUCAGCAGCACUAUUGGGAACAUUACAUUGUCUCUUUAAGUGUUCUCUAGUAACCAGGUCUGGUUUUUAAAGAUACCUCUUGAACAGAUACUUGUGCUUAAAUGUCAGGUCUAUGUCAGCAAAGAGUUUCUGUGUUUGGAUACACUCUCAGUUAUUAAUAUUGAUUAAAAUUGCACUUUCGAUUAAGCAGAGCCAGACAGCAUCACCCUCAUGUUGCUAUAGGCAACCAGCAUUGCGAGUUCACGGAAUACUACUUAGAUUCAUAUUUAAUGUUUUCCAGUGUGUUUCUGCUAGAAACAAGAUUUCUUCCCAUGGAUGAAGAGAGCUUUGACAACCCAGGAAAUGUGUAGCAACACUAACGAGAUUGUCUGGAGGAAUACACAUUAGAACACUCAGUGCUUCGUUAGCUUGUGUCACGUCUUUAAGGAUGAACAGUAUUAUGGUGCUGUGGCAAUGUAUCUCAAACUGGAUAGCUGGCCAGUGGCCUCCCUAAGAUAGUCCAAGCCUCCUUCCUUGGGGACAAGCCAACAAGCCAGCUCAGGCAGAAAUGAAACUAAAUGAACAGACUUGUCUUGUUGACUCUUUGGAACCCAGCAAAAAUAGGUCUCCCUGGAAUAGUGAAGAUUUCCAGAUCUCCCGACCCAAGGAAAAGUUAAUCCUGCCCUGGCAACGUACUUAAAAUAAACUAAUGUUUGUAAAUAACUUUAAGAUACCACAAUUAGAGAUGUUUUGUGCUGCAGGAUUGAUCCAGGGACUGGUGCUGUGAUGAGAUUUUGUCUUUAAAUCUCCCGUUGGUCAGGAAUUCGCUAGCAGGCCUCUUGGAAAGGUCAGAACCAAGCUAUUGGAUUAAAACUUUCUCAAGAAGUCACUGUGGUGUCCAAACGCACUUGGAUUUAAAUAACCACCAUCUACUUAGUUCCUUUCUGCAAGAUGAAGAUUAGACACCGGUGUUAACAGGCAAGCAUUACACUCCUACAUACAACUACCUGAUGAGGAUUGGGACAGGAUUGUUACCAACCUCUGAAUGUCUGACAGAUCUCUGGGAGAAGAAAAGGAAGAUAAUGUAUGUGGGAAUCUUGCUUCUGCCUCCUGGAAGAGGGAGAAGAACACAGGAGUGGAGGAAAGGUCUCCUUGCAGAGAGAGGAGAGAAUUGACAAGGAACUGUAUUGAGGACAGUCGGGAGAUGCAGAAGCAGACAGUCCUGCUAGAGAACAUUUGUUCCUGCCCAGCAUCUGCACCUCCAUGCCUGCCCAGCCAUGUCCUGCAGCCCAUUGAGAGCAAUGCAUACUGGGAGCAGUGGUACCCUUCCUGAAGUUUCAGCCACAGGCACCUCACUCCACACCCCAAGACAGGGAGAUCCGUGAAUAUUAGAACCCCACCUUCACCCCAGCUACAAGUGAUGGAUUAUUCUCUUGCCAUUCUGCACCCCACGGCAAGGACAGCAGUUAAACCCUGGACCUACCCAUGUUUGUGACCAAAAUAGCACAAAUAUGUGCCUUAAGCACUUAGUACUGAUGCGGCACACAUGCCUAUUGUAUUCCAUAAAGUUCGCAUUGUUUUAUGUGUUGGUUUAUGUCCCAUUGCGUUGAAGU